rnacentral:misc_RNA from 1 species
UUUUCUUAUUUUAGGAUUCCUAAUUCUAGUACCAAUAAGACUAGUUACACUAUAUAUACCUAUGUUAUGUAGGUAUUUUUGUAGAGAACUCAUUAUGAUUAUUAUUAACAAUGGAGAAUUAAUAAAAUUUGAGAGUUUGUUUCUUGUUCCCUUUUGAGUGUUCUAGUGGUUCUACAUCACAAUGGGAAUAAGAAGAAUUGAG